rnacentral:rRNA from 1 species
UAGCGGAGGGGGCUAGCGUUGUUCGGAAUACUGGGCGUAAAGCGCACGUAGGCGCUUUGCAAGUCAGAGGUGAAAGGCCCGGGGCUCCAACCCCGGAAUUGCCUUUGAGACUGCAUCGCUAGAAUUGUGGAGAGGUAAGUGGAAUUCCGAGUGUAGAGGUGAAAUUCGUAGAUAUUCGGAGGAACACCAGUGGCGAAGGCGGCUACCUGGACCAGCACUGACACUGAGGCACGAAAGCGUGGGGAGCAAACAGG